rnacentral:ncRNA from 1 species
ACCCCCGUGAGAAUGCCCCCCCGUCUUCCGCCCUAAGACAAGGAGCUGGCAUCAGGCUCACCCAACCCUAGCCCACGACGCCUUGCUAAGCCACACCCCCAAGGGAACUCAGCAGUGAUAAACCUUACAGCCAUGAGUGAAAACUCGACUUAGUUAUAUAGUUAAGAGGGCCGGUAAAAUUCGUGCCAGCCACCGCGGUGAUACGAAAGGCCCAAGUUGACAGACCCCGGCGUAAAGCGUGGUUAGGGUAUACCAAAACUAAAGUCGAACGCCCUUAGGGCCGUAAUACGCGUAUAAAGGCAUGAAGCUCCACCACGAAAGUGGCUUUAAUAUCUCCUGACCCCACGAAAGCUAAGGCACAAACUGGGAUUUGAUACCCCACUAUGCUUAGCCGUAAACAUUGAUAGAAUAACACACCCCCUAUCCGCCUGGACACUACGAGCACUAGCUUAAAAUCCAAAGGACUUGGCGGUUCAUUAGAUCCCUCUAGAGGAGCCUGUUCUGUAACCGAUAAUCCCCGUUUAACCUCACCCUCUCUUGCCUAUCCCGUCUAUAUACCGCCGUCGUCAGUUUACCCUGUGAGGGCCUAAAAGUAAUCAAAAUUGGCACUGCCCAGCACGUCAGGUCGAGGUGUAGCAUAUGAGGGGGGAAGAAAUGGGCUACAUUCGCUAAUAUAGCGCAUACGAAUGAUGCAUUGAAAACAUGCGUACUGAAGGAGGAUUUAGCAGUAAGUGGAAAAUAGAGUGUUCCACUGAAACGGGCUCUGAAGAGCGCACACACCGCCCGUCACUCUCUCCUAACACCCAAAAAACAUUUAUCUAAAACCUACUUGACCGUAGAGGAGAGGCAAGUCGUAACAUGGUAAGUGUACCUGAAGGUGCACUUGGUAAAAAU